GUGCUCGCUUCGGCAGCACAUAUACUAAAAUUGGAAUGAUACAGAGAUUAGCAUGGCCCCUGUGCAAGGUUGACAUGCAAAUUCGUGAAGCAUUCCAUAUUUAA
rnacentral:snRNA from 1 species